GACAGAGGUGGCAAGCGUUGUUCGGAAUUACUGGGCAUAAAGGGCGCGUAGGCGGUAAGGUAUGUCAGGGGUGAAAGCCCUCGGCUCAACCGAGGAAUUGCCUCUGAAACUACCUGACUGGAGUGCAAGAGAGGAGAGUGGAACUCGAGGUGGAGCGGUGAAAUGCGUAGAUAUCUCGGGGAACGCCAGUGGCGAAAGCGACUCUCUGGUUUGCAACUGACGCUGAGGCGCGAAAGCUAGGGGAG
rnacentral:rRNA from 1 species